GACGAACGCUGGCGGCGUGCUUAACACAUGCAAGUCGAGCGAUGAAGUUCCUUCGGGAAUGGAUUAGCGGCGGACGGGUGAGUAACACGUGGGUAACCUGCCUCAUAGAGGGGAAUAGCCUUCCGAAAGGAAGAUUAAUACCGCAUAAGAUUGUAGUGCCGCAUGGCAUAGCAAUUAAAGGAGUAAUCCGCUAUGAGAUGGACCCGCGUCGCAUUAGCUAGUUGGUGAGGUAACGGCUCACCAAGGCGACGAUGCGUAGCCGACCUGAGAUGGUGAUCGGCCACAUUGGGACUGAGACCCGGCCCAGACUCCUACGGGAGGCAGCAGUGGUGAAUAUUGCACAACGGGGGAAACCCUGAUGCAGCAACGCCGCGUGAGUGAUGAAGGUCUUCGGAUUGUAAAACUCUGUCUUCAGGGACGAUAAUGACGGUACCAAAGGAGGAAGCCACGGCUAACUACGUGCCAGCAGCCGCCGCGG
rnacentral:rRNA from 1 species